GCUCACAAUGACCCUGAUCUGGCAAAGCUCUCAUCCUGCCCCGACUCUGCCAUGGGCAACAGGCUCCUCUGCUGGGCUGCCCUGUGCCUCCUGGGGGCAGAUCACACAGGUGCUGGAGUUUCCCAGUUCCCCAGUAACAAGGUCACAGAGAAGGGAAAGGAUGUAGCGCUCAGGUGUGAUCCAAUUUCAGGUCAUGCUGUCCUUUACUGGUACCGACAGAACUUGGGGCAGGGCCUAGAGUUUCUAAUUUACUUCCAAGGCACGGGUGCAGUAGAUGACUCAGGGCUGCGCAGUGAUCGGUUCUCUGCAACAAGGCCUGAAGGAUCCGUCUCUACUCUGAAGAUCCGACACACAGAGCAGGGGGACUCAGCCACGUACUUCUGUGCCAGCAGCUUAACCACAGCAUGACACAAUCGCCUCUUUCCUGCUCACAAACCUCCUCCUCUCUCUCCUUGCUUCCUUGUGAUACUAUUUUGCAUCCUCAUCUCACAACGCUCCUCUGCCUCUUCCAGAAUCAUUGCUUGCAUGUCUGCUGC